UGAAAACGUUCAGCGUGAUGUCAAGUGCCACACCACCCAUGAGUGAGGGAGCAGCCAUCGGCGCAGUAUCGUUUCAGAGCGGGAGACGUCGCCCACAGACCCGGACUGCACAGCGGACGGAGGACGCUAUGUUCUUCUGCAAGCGCUGCGGAUCACAGCACAAGCCAAAGCAAUGUCCAGCGUUUGGUAAAGUUUUGGUACACUGCCUUUUACAUAUAAAAUCCAGCUAAAGGAAGGUGCCCAGCCAGUUGUGCAUGCACCACGUAGGGUCCCAGCACCGCUGCGUGAAGCCCUUAAAGGAGAACUGGACAGAAUGACCAACCUGGAUGUGAUCAGAAAGAUCCAGGAGCCUACAGAUUGGGUCAACUCCAUGGUUGUCACCAAGAAAAAGAACGCAUCCCGGUCACGCCUCCUUCGGCAUGUCUGUCUUCAACCUGAGCAACGCCAUCAUGGGCAGCGGCAUCCUCGGCCUGUCCUUCGCCAUGGCAAACACUGGCAUCGUUCUCUUUACCGUCCACAGUCAGCGUUCCUCUUCGUGAAUCCUCUGAGCCCUCCUGUGUGCCCCUCAUACCAGGGCCACAACACAAUACUGCAAGGCCUCGACAUAAUUUCCCGAUUCUUCCGCUUCUCUGCUCUUGCUUUUAAUUUCUGAAGCUUGU
ensembl:lncRNA